rnacentral:tRNA from 1 species
GGUGCUGUAGCUCAUCUGGAUAGAGCAGCUGCCUUCUAAGCAGCAGGUAGACGGUUCGAGCCCGCCCAGCAUCA